rnacentral:rRNA from 1 species
AGGGCGCACGGUGGAUGCCUUGACACUAGGAGUCGAUGAAGGACGGGACUAACGCCGAUAUGCUUCGGGGAGCUGUAAGUAAGCUUUGAUCCGAAGAUUUCCGAAUGGGGAAACCCACCAUACGUAAUGGUAUGGUAUCCUUAUCUGAAUACAUAGGGUAAGGAAGACAGACCCAGGGAACUGAAACAUCUAAGUACCUGGAGGAAGAGAAAGCAAAUGCGAUUUCCUGAGUAGCGGCGAGCGAAACGGAACAUAGCCCAAACCAAGAGGCUUGCCUCUUGGGGUUGUAGGACAUUCUAUACGGAGUUACAAAGGAACGAGGUAGACGAAGCGACCUGGAAAGGUCCGUCGUAGAGGGUAACAACCCCGUAGUCGAAACUUCGUUCUCUCUUGAAUGUAUCCUGAGUACGGCGGAACACGUGAAAUUCCGUCGGAAUCCGGGAGGACCAUCUCCCAAGGCUAAAUACUCCCUAGUGACCGAUAGUGAACCAGUACCGUGAGGGAAAGGUGAAAAGCACCCCGGAAGGGGAGUGAAAGAGAUCCUGAAACCGUGUGCCUACAAAUAGUCAGAGCCCGUUAACGGGUGAUGGCGUGCCUUUUGUAGAAUGAACCGGCGAGUUACGAUCCCGUGCGAGGUUAAGCUGAAGAGGCGGAGCCGCAGCGAAAGCGAGUCUGAAUAGGGCGUUUAGUACGUGGUCGUAGACCCGAAACCAGGUGAUCUACCCAUGUCCAGGGUGAAGUUCAGGUAACACUGAAUGGAGGCCCGAACCCACGCACGUUGAAAAGUGCGGGGAUGAGGUGUGGGUAGCGGAGAAAUUCCAAUCGAACCUGGAGAUAGCUGGUUCUCCCCGAAAUAGCUUUAGGGCUAGCCUUAAGUGUAAGAGUCUUGGAGGUAGAGCACUGAUUGGACUAGGGGUCCUCAUCGGAUUACCGAAUUCAGUCAAACUCCGAAUGCCAAUGACUUAUCCUUAGGAGUCAGACUGCGAGUGAUAAGAUCCGUAGUCAAAAGGGAAACAGCCCAGACCGCCAGCUAAGGUCCCAAAGUGUGUAUUAAGUGGAAAAGGAUGUGGAGUUGCUUAGACAACUAGGAUGUUGGCUUAGAAGCAGCCACCAUUUAAAGAGUGCGUAAUAGCUCACUAGUCGAGUGACUCUGCGCCGAAAAUGUACCGGGGCUAAAUACACCACCGAAGCUGCGGAUUGAUACCAAUGGUAUCAGUGGUAGGGGAGCGUUCUAAGGACAGUGAAGUCAGACCGGAAGGACUGGUGGAGUGCUUAGAAGUGAGAAUGCCGGUAUGAGUAGCGAAAGACGGGUGAGAAUCCCGUCCACCGAAUGCCUAAGGUUUCCUGAGGAAGGCUCGUCCGCUCAGGGUUAGUCAGGACCUAAGCCGAGGCCGACAGGCGUAGGCGAUGGACAACAGGUUGAUAUUCCUGUACCACCUCUUUAUCGUUUGAGCAAUGGAGGGACGCAGAAGGAUAGAAGAAGCGUGCGAUUGGUUGUGCACGUCCAAGCAGUUAGGCUGAUAAGUAGGCAAAUCCGCUUAUCGUGAAGGCUGAGCUGUGAUGGGGAAGCUCCUUAUGGAGCGAAGUCUUUGAUUCCCCGCUGCCAAGAAAAGCUUCUAGCGAGAUAAAAGGUGCCUGUACCGCAAACCGACACAGGUAGGCGAGGAGAGAAUCCUAAGGUGUGCGAGAGAACUCUGGUUAAGGAACUCGGCAAAAUGACCCCGUAACUUCGGGAGAAGGGGUGCUUUCUUAACGGAAAGCCGCAGUGAAUAGGCCCAAGCGACUGUUUAGCAAAAACACAGCUCUCUGCGAAGCCGUAAGGCGAAGUAUAGGGGGUGACACCUGCCCGGUGCUGGAAGGUUAAGGAGAGGGGUUAGCGUAAGCGAAGCUCUGAACUGAAGCCCCAGUAAACGGCGGCCGUAACUAUAACGGUCCUAAGGUAGCGAAAUUCCUUGUCGGGUAAGUUCCGACCCGCACGAAAGGCGUAACGAUUUGGGCACUGUCUCAACGAGAGACUCGGUGAAAUCAUAGUACCUGUGAAGAUGCAGGUUACCCGCGACAGGACGGAAAGACCCCGUGGAGCUUUACUGUAGCCUGAUAUUGAAUUUUGGUACAGUUUGUACAGGAUAGGCGGGAGCCUUUGAAACCGGAGCGCUAGCUUCGGUGGAGGCGCUGGUGGGAUACCGCCCUGACUGUAUUGAAAUUCUAACCUACGGGUCUUAUCGACCCGGGAGACAGUGUCAGGUGGGCAGUUUGACUGGGGCGGUCGCCUCCUAAAGUGUAACGGAGGCGCCCAAAGGUUCCCUCAGAAUGGUUGGAAAUCAUUCGUAGAGUGCAAAGGCAUAAGGGAGCUUGACUGCGAGACCUACAAGUCGAGCAGGGACGAAAGUCGGGCUUAGUGAUCCGGUGGUUCCGCAUGGAAGGGCCAUCGCUCAACGGAUAAAAGCUACCCCGGGGAUAACAGGCUUAUCUCCCCCAAGAGUCCACAUCGACGGGGAGGUUUGGCACCUCGAUGUCGGCUCAUCGCAUCCUGGGGCUGUAGUCGGUCCCAAGGGUUGGGCUGUUCGCCCAUUAAAGCGGUACGCGAGCUGGGUUCAGAACGUCGUGAGACAGUUCGGUCCCUAUCCGUCGUGGGCGUAGGAAAUUUGAGAGGAGCUGUCCUUAGUACGAGAGGACCGGGAUGGACAUACCUCUGGUGUACCAGUUGUCGUGCCAACGGCAUAGCUGGGUAGCUAUGUGUGGACGGGAUAAGUGCUGAAAGCAUCUAAGCAUGAAGCCCCCCUCAAGAUGAGAUUUCCCAUAGCGUAAGCUAGU